rnacentral:rRNA from 1 species
CCGGAACCAGGCGCCCGCCGGAGGAACCAACCAAACUCUUUCUGUAGUCCCCUCGCGGACGUAUUUCUUACAGCUCUGAGCAAAAAUUCAAAAUGAAUCAAAACUUUCAACAACGGAUCUCUUGGUUCUGGCAUCGAUGAAGAACGCAGCGAAAUGCGAUAAGUAAUGUGAAUUGCAGAAUUCAGUGAAUCAUCGAAUCUUUGAACGCACAUUGCGCCCGCCAGUAUUCUGGCGGGCAUGCCUGUCCGAGCGUCAUUUCAACCCUCGAACCCCUCCGGGGGAUCGGCGUUGGGGAUCGGGACCCCUCACCGGGUGCCGGCCCUGAAAUACAGUGGCGGUCUCGCCGCAGCCUCUCCUGCGCAGUAGUUUGCACAACUCGCACCGGGAGCGCGGCGCGUCCACGUCCGUAAAACACCCAACUUCUGAAAUGUUGACCUCGGAUCAGGUAGGAAUACCCGCUGAACUUAAGCAUAUCAAUAAGCGGAGGGAAAGAAA